rnacentral:tRNA from 1 species
ACUUAAGUAGUUUAAUAAUAAAAUGUCGAUUUGUGGGGUCGGGGAAAUAAGUAAAUUUAUCUUGGGUU